CAGCACCUCAAGUGGUCAGGAUGAUUAUUGGGCCUAAAGCAUCCGUAGCCGGCGCUGUAAGUUUUCGGUUAAAUCUGUACGCUUAACGUACAGGCUGCCGGGAAUACUGCAGAGCUAGGGAGUGGGAGAGGUAGACGGUACUCGGUAGGAAGGGGUAAAAUCCUUUGAUCUAUUGAUGACCACCUGUGGCGAAGGCGGUCUACCAGAACACGUCCGACGGUGAGGGACGAAAGCUGGGGGAGCAAACCGGAUUAGAUACCCGAGUAGUCC
rnacentral:rRNA from 1 species